AGCUUCAUGUGAGCAGAUUAAGAACAAUAAAAUGAAUGUAGAAAUAUUGUUGUACUAACUAAAGUCUGGCAACCUGAUUUGGUUACAUUUUGGUAACAUAAACUAAUGCUUUCAGGUAAUGAACCAUGAACUUUCAUUCCUGCAGGUUACCCUGUACCUAUGGGUGCCUGACCCUGAGCAGGAUGUUUAACAGUAUUACAGAUGUUUGUCCUUCCUAGAGAUUAUUUCAGGCAAAAUUAAAACAAAGACUAGAUCAUGAAAUUUCCUUAGUGUUUUGGAAAAGGGAUUUUCCCUAUUUGUUGCUCAUUAUUUACAUUAUUGUUGUGAGAUUUGGAAUCACAAUUUUGACACUUAAAUUCCUCAGAAGUUAUCCUGUCCAAAUUUGUUAUAAAAGUCUCUUGGCUUUUAACCCCUACAAUCCUCCUCUAAUAGUUCCUUUAAAAAAAAAAAUAAAAAAAACCCUAAAAAGACUGAUGGCCAAAACUGCCAUUGUAUACUUGAAGAACCUCAUGUUCACCAACCUGCCUGAGGCAGGAAGUCCUGUCCACCUUAUGGUUGAAGUCAAGAUGAGUGUUGUGCUGGUGUGGAUGUGUGACUGUUUCAUGUGUUUGGAUAAAUGAGGUGUGAUAGCUGCUGUCAGCCAGCUUGUCAGACGGGCUGCCCCAGGCCACAGUAGAGGCUCUUCUCUGCAGUUGGGUUACAUUGACGAUGAGUAGAAGUCAGUGGACAGUAAAGCCUGGACAUGUUUGCACUGCAGCCAGAAGUAAGCUUACACAGAUCAGCUGAACAAGUAAGGUAAGUGUCCCAUCCAUGUUUAUAAUACAAGAUGCUCAGUUUUCUCUUCUCUCUGUCCUCUCUUCCCGUCAUUCCUCACAGUGACAUUUACAGGGCUUCUGGCAUCACACUUACAAAGAAUGGCAUCACAGUGCAGAUCUCUUUCCUUCAAUCUUUUGUGUGUGUGUAUGUGAUUUCAAGCAUUAUAGCCCGUGCAGUGUGUGUGGUUGUAGUACUUUUGCUUCUCUGUAUGUAUGCAUGAGAGAAAUAAUGACGUUUGUAACAUGUGAAACAGAGCUGAUAUUUGAGAGUUGCUGGUUUUAUAUCCAUCAUUAUGAAAGCAGAUCAACACAAAGAUUCAAAACCUUCAAUCUUAUACAAGGUAUUCAGGUUGUCUUCUUCCAGCCUGUUCUGGUCUUUUUACCUGAUUUAAAAGGUCUUUGGCAAUGGAAAUAGGCAGGUUGCGUUCAACAAUGUGAAGAACAAUAUAGUCCGAGGCAACAACUCAUGGGGUGAUUUUCCACUGACAUUCUGUUAAAAACUUUUGGAAGUCUUAGUAAUAUAAUACUUCAUCUCUUCUUCACCUGCCAAACAGGAAAUAAUGUUCUGUCCAAUCUAAAACACACAGAUGUGGUUUCUGUUUGGGUUCUCUUGAAGAGAAUUUGACAACAUUCAGACCACAUUGAGCAGCUUUGGCCCAGAAUACAUGCACAAGCAUGUAAGCCAGUCUGUUUCACCUUUCUAAACAAAACAAUAGUCCAUGUUAGUAUCACUAAACCAAUUACUUUAUUCAAACUAUUAAUAUACUAUGUUUAUGCUCACAUUUUAGCUGAGCUGUUUGAAAACUCAGUUUGAUAUUCAUCCAAACGCUGUACCAGAUAGGUGUAGCUUAUUUCUCACGUGUACUUACAUGUGACUCAGUUGCUCCCGAGUGUAACAUGAGACUGAAGUCUUAAGUGCAGACCUCACACUGUGCAUUUACCUUGGAAACUGACAGGAUUGCUCCGUCCGUCAUUGCUGUGAAAUGUCUCUAAAACUCUAAAAGUAGUUUGUGGCACUGGGUUGGGAUGUGUUUGCAGUUUAGAAGUAAAACCUGUUGAUACUGCUGUGGUUGAACUGGGUGGGUUUUUUAGAAAAAGAAAAUCUUCUUUUGUACCCCGGGCUGUUGGUCUGGACUUGGACUGUCUCUUUCUGUACAUGGAGUUUGGGGCGACUGCUUCGCCUUAAUAAUCAAAUACAUUUUAAAAAAAAUUCAUUUUCGACUUGACACAAAAAAACUUCCCAAGAAAUCCCAUCUUGAAAGUCCACUGUGCUUAAACGCUGCAGAAAUAUCAGAGGAUAAAGACACUCAGAGGCUAUCAAGACAUGAGAAUUUUCUAAUUGUUGUUUAUUUCCGUAUCAGAGAAGCCAGUGACGGUUGUCUGCAGAUAUAUAGACAUAUUAAAAACAUGCUAAUUUUAAUGGAGCAAAUUUGCCCAAGAUGUUGAAGAGCUAAAUUAUUAUUAUCACAGUUAAACUGACAGUGAGUCUGUGGUGAACCCAUGCUUCCCUAUGACAUGCUUAGACUUAGUUCCAGAACCUAGAUGAUUAAAUGAUGUGAGCAAUAAAUUGACUGACUGAUUAAAUCCCAUCACCAGAAUCCUGAGUCAGUUAAACAGAUUAUUUAUAUUAAAAUGUCUGUUAAAGGUUAUGUCUCAGAUGUAAAGUUGCCAACAGUCACAAGCGGAACUGUAGCUCCAUUAAACGGGCCUCAUCUUAAUGCACUACUGCCGUGAUGUAAACCUGCACAGAAGACAGAUGGCAUCACGUAGGAGCUAGCUCAUAAUAAAGUAACGCAUGGCCGCAUUCAGCAGGAGGACGUUAACCUGCAAGAAGGGCCAAAGUGCUACCACUGCACAACUCCAACAGUAGUGUUCACAUCCCAAGGUAGCAUCAUUUUAAAACUGCAGCAGGAAUAUCAAGUCAUCGUUUGAGAGUAGCCAGUUCCAAACCUCAAUAAUCCAUCGCCCAACUCAAAAAUCAAAACAAAUAUUUAGUGGCCGUACUGAUGAACACAAAAUACAAGUACUUUAUUGCAUAAACAAGAAACAAAUGUAGGAAAGGCUUUCCUACAGCAUCAGUACAGAAACAUAAAUCCAUCCACAUACAGGUGACUGCUGAGAAACAAGAACUUCAAGUAGUUGUGAAUAUUUUAAAUGACCUGCAGUGCUUUAAAGGCCCACCAGGGGAGCUGCUGCCCAAGCUUAAGGAGUCACUGCCUUAGUAUCAUGUUACUCUGAAAACAUACAACCGUUUUAAAACCUGAUCAAACGUAUGAAUUUGUAUCAGCUGAGGUGUUUUGUGGUUGCUACAUGUUAGCUCUGGUUCUUUCACAUCUCGUUCAGUCUGUACAAAAACAGAAACAUGUUGUAGUUCUUCUGAGAAACGCCUCCUGCAGUAGUGGUGGACAUUACUGCUUCUCUUUUCUCUCCUCUUGGUGCCUCUUAUUGCUCAUGACUGUCCUGCCAUUCCAGUGACCAGCCAGUAACUAUACAGCAUCCUGAAUGUGACUCUUUUCUGUUGUUGCGCUUAUAUGUAGACGUGGUCUUGUAGCUGUUAAAGGACCCUGGUGCUACAUGGAGUUUAUGGUCCUCGCAAGCUCUGAUCUAAAGGGGGACUACACUAUGUUCAGCCAAUGCCAUGAGUCAAGCCCCCUGAAGGCUGUCGAGAUGAAUCUUAUCUGCACUGUGAUCCAUGCUCUAACCAAACUCAAGUCCUCAUUGUCUAAAAUCUGUUCUAUGUUCGUGAAUCUCUUGAGUGUGAUGCCAGAACAACCCUUUAUGCCUACAGUAGUUUUGUCUUAAAAGGGCACCGCCCAAAGGCUUAAAGACCGAUACGGAAUAGACGAGGUCUUCUCCUGUAGAAGGUGACGGUGCAGCUCCCAGCUCUGUUUGGGCUCAUCAUGCAUCGACGCCCCCUGAUGUGCAGUCCAGCUUCAUGUGGCUUUGUAACAGAAUGCUGUUGUCAUGGACCUUUCUGGACCCCUCUGCAGUUUGUAAACAAAUGAAUGGACUUUAAAGUACUCAGAUGCCUUUCAUAAAACCGACCUGCAUUUAGACUUUGUCACACAAUGUGUACAUGUCUCCAGUCACUGACUCACACAUUCUUCACACAUAACAACCUGUUUGUUUGUUUUUUUUACAUCUCCACAAACACAUGCACAAAUAACGCACACUCGGCACAGGUUGUCACUGACUUUAUUAGUGGCAACCUCAGAGCAGUACAGGUAGAUAAAAAAGGAAGUGUUUAAAUGGAACAAAAAGAAAGUAGAAGUAGAGACCUGUUUCAGAUCACUGCCAGGUUCUUAUCGUUUUGUCUCUCGCCACAGGAGCCUGGAGCAGUGGACGGAGGCUGAGAGUCCACACCCGUAAACAUGGUCAAAUGAAGAAUGAUGUCUGAUUAAAAAGCCAGAGCUGCAGAAGACCAAGAAACGGCACUGUGGUCACACCAGGAUGAGCUCCAUAGCUGCAGGUGUCGAAGCAGCUGCAGUACCAGGAAACAUCCAGCAGAGGAGCAAACAGGCCGCAGUCCAGAGGAGAGAUGCACUGUUUGUUUUUUUUAGAUCUUCAGUAUAAUAAAUAAUACAAACUCAA